rnacentral:lncRNA from 1 species
UUGGAGUAUAUUUGAUGGCGGUUAAGUGAUGGUUUUUGUGUAUUGAUGAUAUUUUUUUUUGAAGGUGUUUGUAGGGUGGAAGUGUUUAUAAGGUCAGAGUUUAGAAUGUGAUUUAUUUUGAUGAAGGAUGAGUGAUGAUGAUGAAAGUGAGGUUAUACUGCGGUUGGUUGAAGCCUUGGGGGGAGUUUUUUUCUCUGUUAAGAAAUGAUGGUUAAUGAUGAUGAUGUGAUAUGGAAGGAUUGAUAAAGAAAAGAAGAGAAAAUAUUUCCUCCUGCAAAUUUUUUUUACUGACCUCUUAAAAAGAGAACGCACAUCACAUGUGAGGUAAAGUCCCUAAGGCCAUGUUUGGAUCUUUCACGAAGAAAAAAUGUUUCUCCUAACUUUAUGGACAUGAGUUAGCCGUGUGGUGUUCCAAGAGUGGAGGAUAUAUAUCUAUUUGGUUUCUUCUUUAAAUUCUCUAAAUAAUGUUUUAAAAGAUAAAAUAAGAAUAAAGAUUUAAUAAUUGAAAUAAAAUCAAUAAAAUAAAAAAAUUAAAUUGAAUUUAAAAAUACAAUUUAUUCUAAUUUAUUCAACUAAUUAACUUGGCUAAAAAAAACAAAAACAAAAAAUCGGAUAAAAAUGAAUAAAAAUCGGAUGAGACAAAAAGCUUUUUUUUAAAAAAUAAAAUAAACAAACUGCAUCAAAGCGUGAAAUAAACUUUUCAAAAACAUACAGAUUUUAAUUAAAUUUUGAAAUAAAAAAUGACCGGUUAAAAGGCUCAGACUGAUUAAAAUGCAACCGAAAAAAUAGUUGAAAAAUUAAAAUGAGCACGCCAAAUUAAAAUACGCGAACCGUACAUUAUUAAAAUUGACGUUUGCAAGCUCAAUUUUGAAAUUUUC